rnacentral:lncRNA from 1 species
GGGCCUAGCUCGCCUCAACCAGCGCAGGGGACAGGUUGGCCAACGAAUCGUCACCAACGCUUACGUUCCGGGCCUCACUUUCGGAGCACGUGUGGUGGACACAUGCGACCGAGACUCAGCCAGCGCUUCGUCCCUACAGACGUUCUACCCACAACUGCUGGGUGCCUCGCAGUGCCCCCCUCCUCCCGCCCUCUUCGCGGCGGGUGUGAUCAACCUCAGCUCCCCUAGAUCACAAGCGUAUCCUGGUCUGCCAAUCCUCGACCUCAACCCAACCCUGGUGGCGCCUGCCGACGAGCGAGCUCAGG